CAGGACUCCGUUUUUCUUCCGUUUGCUUGUUUCCCAAGAUAAAAACUCUUUAUAUACUGCCCUGAACCUAUUGACCGCACAAAGGACAAGGGUCGUGUUCUCCGUCUCCUCCGGUCGCUUCGCCUCUCGGAUCCUCCGCUCUUUCCCCUCGGCAGCUACACCAAUCACAACACAACAUCAGGGAUAAGGAAAAAAAUGCAUGCGUCUAAUGAAAGCGACAUUUCCAUCAGUUCUACUAAUUUGUCACCAACUUCCUGGAAAUAUGAGAUAAUUGAAGGAAAUACAAAUAUAGGCUAUCCUAGGCGGCAAAGUGUUUGGCAUGCCAUCAUUUGAUACUAGUGGCACAAGCCAUUUAUUUUAACUGGGUUAUUUGCGUAUCAAGGCAUUUUUUGUAUAGCUAUAGGUUUUAUAUAGCAUUUAUUAGGACCGAGCAGAGCAUACCUUAAACGCAGCAACGCCGAUCAACAGCAGGAACAAACCACACAGAUACAUGCUAUUUCCUUGAUCACAGUAGCCAACCUUCACAGCACCUGGAAGAGAAACAUUAAAAUAUGGGUCCAUAAAUCAACAUGGGUUUACGGCCUAUAUGCAUCCACACACACUCGUCAGAAAAGUAGAGAUAACUAAUUAGUAAUUGCUCCUCUUAACUUCUGUAGAACAUAACAAACAAGAGCUCCUCUUAACUAAUUAGUAAUUGAUCAAGUAGAACCUAACACCAACUCAUAAUAUGUCAAGUACAGAAGCAAUUCCUUUGAACAAAACACAUAAGAAAAAAGAGCAAAAGAAAAGAAAGCGUAAGUCUAUCGAUGAUCCAACACUGACAUAUGUUUUUGUCACUAAAUCUGCUGCAACACACUAAUAUGCAAGAACAGCAGAUGCACAAAGUCAUCUCAUACCAAGUGAAGAUAAUAUGACAAGUAGGGAGCAACCAGCGGUGCUACACAUGCAGCAAGCUUUGCCCGUCUGCAUAACAGAAUAUACUUCGUCAUUUAUAUGUCUUAGCAUAGUAUAAUACUGCACAUACAGCAAAAAAACAAGCACCACGAACCUCCUGGAUAAACAACAGAAACAACCAAGAAGCACUCAGUUUUCAAUUCAUCAAAGGACUAAAAAUAUAAAACUUUGCAUGCAGAAAAAUUGACUCCCAUGCAUUGCAAAACUAACCAAAUUCUGAAUCCAUUUACAGGUGAGGAACACAAAAAAAUUCCUAGUAAAGUAUACUACUGAAAUAAGUGCUUUGAAACAUAGAAUUUUGGAGCUGCACAAAAGAUGCAGCUGAAGAGGACACCCCUAAAUGAAAACAUCAAGCUAAAAAAUUAAGCUAGCAAACCAGUCUGACCUAUUAGAUAUCCCACAUGGACAGUAGCACCUAAAUAUUGAGGCAACAAAAUUGACAAAAAAAUCCCCAUAUAUGAACAUCACAACCUGUGGGCAUUAACUAAACACAAAUUAAACCUAAAAGAAGAAGUCAAAUGAUAAAUCUUCUACAACAUUAACGCAUGGGAUUGUGUUCAACGAGAGAAAUAUCACCUUGUUCUUCUUCACCAAAUUCUUCUGUUGGAUUAUUCCUCCUCUUAUUUCUCAGAUCGUCAGACAUUGAAUCAGAGGAUGGAGCGCCUAACAGAGCAGAGCAAGGAAAAUCUUUAGGUCUAGUAAAACAUUAGCCAAGCGAGUACACAAAUUCUUGUCCAUUACCUUAAGGAAUAUGAGAUCCAAAAAUAAUACAUUGCGAUAAGGUGACCAUUAUGACAAUGUCCAUGGACCUGCAAGCACCAUUGAGUACAAUCACAGAAGAAAAUCAAAAAUACAUUACAAAACAACAGGAGAUCAUCAUCAUAAUACCCUUAAUCUAAGAGAAUAAAUGAAUAAUAAUCAAGAAAUAAUGGAAGGAGAACAGAACUAUAAAGCUUUUAUUAAUCGAUGAGUAGCCUGGUUCACUUCCAAAUAUAAAUAUGCAGAAAUUGAAGGAGGUGGACACCGAUCAAUUUGACAUGCUGCUGUCUGCCAAACUAAGAGACACAACCAGCCAAUGUAUUUUUAGCUCCACAACACCAAUCUGAUUGUAAGCUGAUCAAGAAGAAAGAAUAGACAAUAUAAAUCAUGCCCCUAUUAUCCUAACCGAGGGCAGCCGACAAGCGGGACCAGGAGCAGCACCGGCCCACCUUUCAUUGCGAGACCACAAGCUCGGGCGCACAAGCUGGGUGCGCAUGUGUCGGCCAACCUCUCGAUGGCUUCCCACGACGUGCAUGACACGGUCAGCGUGCGACAUGACGUGCGACGUGGCAGGAACAGGCUCACCCAACGAAAUCCAACCCAGCCAAUGGAGGCCUGAGCUGAGCCCACUAGUCAUAGUACGCCACGAAAGAACAUCAGGUAAAAAAUGCAGUAAAAUCUAACGUCCGGUAGAGCAGCGUUGCCCCGACUUGUGUGGAUCGAACCGGUAGAAUCGAAUGGAAAUCGAGGGAGCUUCAGGUGAGCGGGUCGCCCAGCCACAGAGUAUUCAUCAAAAUUCAGUAUAAAAAAGGACUACUCAUGAAUAGAAAGAUCAUUGUCGCAAUUUGGAAUGACAUGUUCUAGUAGGAAUCCUAGAUAUACAAAGAGAGUAUUAGUUCAGCAGAAUCAAUAUCAUUAUUCAACAAACUAUCAACCAUUACACAAUAUCUCAAGAAUUUAUAGUGUAGCCACCAAACAAAGUGGUAAUCAAGGCAACAUCAAUCUAACAACAAUGGCUGACUGAUGAUGUUUUAGUCCUUCCGGUUUACUAAUUCAGAGGAACUGUAACAAAAAUCGCUCUUUGGUCAAUAGCAUCAACUGAUUCUUUGAACUCUAAAUUCCACUCUUAGCUAAAAUUAUUCUUCCUCUCUUCUAUGUCAGAUCUGCACACGUCAAGUUUAAAAAUCCAUAUAAUAGCAAAGUAAAAUACGUGUGAGGAAGAAAUUAAGAGAGGGAGAGAAAGAGUGGAGCACCAAGUUUGCCGCCGGCUUGCAUCGCUCGAGCCACCUGCAACAGGCACCUCCAGAUCCACGAGGCAGCCAUGGGAGGAGGGAUGAGCUCCUGGUUCCUCUCGCCUUCCCACACCGCCUGUUCACCUCGACCUCCUUGCCUAAUGGGGGGGUGUGGAGGCAGAUGUGGCGCCUCUCAUGGUGCAGAGGAGGUGACGACGCGGUGGUGCAACAAGUCGACCUGCCAGCCGCCGACAGGUGCGCGAGGCCUCACCCUGCCCCUUCCCCAUGCUAGGAUCGCUCACCUUCUCCUUCCCUGCUGUUGCUUGCCUUCCUUGCCGGCCUCCUCCUUCCCUUGUCGUCCGCACCCUACACCUCCCCUACAUCCCCACCCGCACUGCGAAGAUGACCUACUUCCGAUCUGGAUCGACGAUGACAUGGAAGUGCACAGGAGGAGGCGAGCAGAGGAGAAGGCUGGCGGUGGGAUCAACGGCGACAUGAUAGAGGAGAGGAGGAGGCGAGUGGAGAGACGAGGUCGGCCGACGGCUGCUGGCAAGGAGAGGAUGGUGGGGAUCGAGGGAGGGGUGCGGCGGCUCGUGGGGAUCGAGGGGAAAGAGAAAGAGGGCUAGGGUUCAUUUGGCGGCUGGGGUGGGAGUGGGGCAAGAUGCGGGUGAUUUUGUGC
rnacentral:lncRNA from 1 species